rnacentral:misc_RNA from 1 species
CAUAACCAAAAAGAAAAAAAAAUUUUACGAACAAUAUUUAUUAUUUAUAGAGAAAUGUAAAGAUACGCAUACGUCGUUUAAACUGCAUCAAGUUAAUUCGAUGGCUCGUGCUUUGAGAUGGGAAAUCACGCUACAUGUCAAGUUGGAGCUAGUUGUAGUUUGAAUCGGGAAUCUAUUCCAAAAUCAGAUUUCUAGGAGGAAUAAAAAUGGCGAAUGAUAUAAUAAUAAGAGGCAAAGAUAGAUUACAUGAGAUUAGUAUGAAAUUGGAACAGAGUCAUUUGGUGUAUCUGCAAACGGAUGAUAGUCCUUUAAAACUACUACAACGACAUAAAUUGGAAGGCUUUAUAAAGGAAUAUCUUUGUCUAGUACCCAAUGAGAAUAAAUAUGUGUUUCAAGAAACAGCAGAUAUUUUACACAGAUCAGCAGCAACAGUAACAGAUUUCAGUGGGUAUAGAGCAGCAACUGCUUGGAGUGCAAUUUCCUUGUACGCGGCUAAUCUAUUGGCUCAGCCUUGGCGAAGAGAAUAUAGGAUAGUGAGGACAUACAGCGGCUAUUAUAAACAUGAGGUAGAGGCAAAUUUAAUAGGUGCUGAGUUAAUGUUUGAGCAGAUGGGCUAUAAGCACACUGGUUUGGGUAUACUAACUUUGGAAGGGCCAAUUGAUCCUGAUAAGGUUUCAAACGUCAGUAGGGAUGCUAUUGUAGCUUUUGUAGAAUGUCAGAUUUUAAAGCAGAUAUGGGAAAGUGUGUCACAGAAAUACACCAUUUCUUGGCUGGAGGUAUUGGAAUUUCGUGAGAAUCACGUUGGUACACCAGAGCAGGCCAUUCGAGCGUUAAACUAUCGUUUCCUCGAGAAAGUGCAUCAAAACCGCACAAAGGUCGAUAACUAUAAGGAUUAUUAUCAGCAACAAAUGGGUAUAGACGUCGUGCCAUUGCAUCUGCCUUAUCAUCACAUUGUGCAUGCUAAUUACAACGCAACAAUGCCAUCAACCUGUCAAACAGAUUAUCGACACAUCGAAGAUACAACAAACAUGGCAGUGCCGACUAAUUAUCGAUAUUAUCAACCAAUCGAUCAUGGUUUCAUCAAUUGUUGCACUAGCUAUGGUUGCUUGCCCUCUCACGGUAACAAGUUUUAUGGUAAUAAUAUGCAACAGAAUCCAUAUUGCACCACGUUACCAGCAUAUGCAGCUCGAGUACCAACAGGGAGACUGAUAGAACUUGAUGUACCGGUGUCUGUGGCAAAUUAUGAAAAAACACAUACUCUCCGUAAACCUAUGUCCCACCGGAUAUCAGACCUGGAUGAGAUAGAUUUUUAUAAACGGCAAUCGAGCAACGGGGAUCAUUAUGAACACGGUAAAACUGAUAGAAAAACUGCUAGCAGAUCGAAUUCCAGUGCUGGAAAAGACGGUUAUGAUACGUGGGAUUUUGUGUACAGAAAUCUUGAGAGCUUAGGUUACUACAAAGAUCUCGAUGAUCGAGACGAUGUGUUACAGCAUAAGAAGGAGCUGGAUUCUAUUCGUGUCAAGCACAAGACGCUUAGGCAAACGGAGAACGAAGACAAGUAUAGCGCGCAUAAAUCGGAAAAGAAAAGAAGCAGCAGUAGGAUUGAAGCGAAUGAGAUCGAUUCGUCCGAAACAAACGGCAAAAAUCAUCAGGAUAUUUUACCCUUCAAGAAGAAAUCCUCGUCCUUUGAUUUGUCAGAUUCGAACAGAUAUAAUAUCGAUGCAAAUAAUAAAGAUAAAAAGCACAACAGUCAAACUUUACCAAUUCCACGCACACACAAAUCUUCGGAUCAGAUAGCGAAGAAGAUUGCAGAUUCCUUUAAAAAUCUCGACAUCGCGCAAAUGAGUAAACAGAAAAAGGAAGAGGCAGAGGAUGAAAAGAGAUGGAAUUGUGCCACGUGCACAUAUCUAAAUAUGCCCGAUCGAGACAUCUGUGAAAUGUGCGCCAAAUCGAGAUGCAAAGGAAACGAGGACAAGCCGCUCGCCAGCGGCGGCAAGGAAUGUCCAAAAUGCACGCUGGUAAACGAGAAAAACGUUUCUAUCUGUGAUGCUUGUCAUACCAGUCUGAAGGAUUCUCCGACCUAUAUAUAAAUAGACUGAAACGCCUGAAACUUCGCGAAAGAAGGGAUUCUCGCACAUUUGCCACAAUUUGCAGUUUGCGCAAAGAUUUUGGCUCUGGUUUUACAGCUUCUUGCACCUGCAAAAAUAAUGCACAAAAUAUUUAAACAGUUGUUCAAUUUACUUAUUAUGUAAUCCCCUGGAAAAACAGAUUACAAACA